rnacentral:tRNA from 1 species
GUUUGAAUAGUUAAAAAAGAAUAUUGAUUUGUGGUGUCAAAGGUAUGAUUAUUCAUUUCAAACC